GGUUAAGUUAGAAAGGGCGCACGGUGGAUGCCUUGGCACUAGGAGCCGAUGAAGGACGGGACGAACACCGAUAUGCUUCGGGGAGCUGUAAGCAAGCUUUGAUCCGGAGAUUUCCAAAUGGGGAAACCCACCACUCGUAAUGGAGUGGUAUCCAUAUCUGAAUACAUAGGAUAUGAGAAGGCAGACCCGGGGAACUGAAACAUCUAAGUACCCGGAGGAAGAGAAAGCAAAUGCGAUUCCCUGAGUAGCGGCGAGCGAAACGGGAUCAGCCCAAACCAAGAGGCUUGCCUCUUGGGGUUGUAGGACACUCUGUACGGAGUUACAAAGGAACGAGGUAGAUGAAGAGGUCUGGAAAGGCCCGCCAUAGGAGGUAACAGCCCUGUAGUCAAAACUUCGUUCUCUCCUGAGUGGAUCCUGAGUACGGCGGAACACGUGAAAUUCCGUCGGAAUCCGGGAGGACCAUCUCCCAAGGCUAAAUACUCCCUAGUGACCGAUAGUGAACCAGUACCGUGAGGGAAAGGUGAAAAGCACCCCGGAAGGGGAGUGAAAGAGAUCCUGAAACCGUGUGCCUACAAGUAGUCAGAGCCCGUUAACGGGUGAUGGCGUGCCUUUUGUAGAAUGAACCGGCGAGUUACGAUCCCGUGCAAGGUUAAGCAGAAGAUGCGGAGCCGCAGCGAAAGCGAGUCUGAAUAGGGCGAAUUGAGUACGUGGUCGUAGACCCGAAACCAGGUGAUCUACCCAUGUCCAGGGUGAAGUUCAGGUAACACUGAAUGGAGGCCCGAACCCACGCACGUUGAAAAGUGCGGGGAUGAGGUGUGGGUAGGGGUGAAAUGCCAAUCGAACCUGGAGAUAGCUGGUUCUCUCCGAAAUAGCUUUAGGGCUAGCCUCAAGGUAAGAGUCUCGGAGGUAGAGCACUGAUUGGACUAGGGGCCCCUACCGGGUUACCGAAUUCAGUCAAACUCCGAAUGCCGAUGACUUAUCCUUGGGAGUCAGACUGCGAGUGAUAAGAUCCGUAGUCGAAAGGAAACAGCCCAGACCGCCAGCUAAGGUCCCAAAGUAUACGUUAAGUGGAAAAGGAUGUGGAGUUGCUUAGACAACCAGGAUGUUGGCUUAGAAGCAGCCACCAUUUAAAGAGUGCGUAAUAGCUCACUGGUCGAGUGACUCUGCGCCGAAAAUGUACCGGGCUAAACGUAUCACCGAAGCUGCGGACUGUUCUUCGAACAGUGGUAGGAGAGCGUUCUAAGGGCUGUGAAGCAAGACCGGAAGGACUUGUGGAGCGCUUAGAAGUGAGAAUGCCGGUAUGAGUAGCGAAAGAGGGGUGAGAAUCCCCUCCACCGAAUGCCUAAGGUUUCCUGAGGAAGGCUCGUCCGCUCAGGGUUAGUCGGGACCUAAGCCGAGGCCGAAAGGCGUAGGCGAUGGAUAACAGGUUGAUAUUCCUGUACCACCUCCUCACCAUUUGAGCAAUGGGGACGCAGGAGGAUAGGGUAAGCGCGGUAUUGGAUAUCCGCGUCCAAGCAGUUAGGCUGGGAAAUAGGCAAAUCCGUUUCCCGUGAAGGCUGAGCUGUGAUGGCGAGCGAAUUAUAGUAGCGAAGUUCCUGAUUCCACACUGCCAAGAAAAGCCUCUAGCGAGGUGAGAGGUGCCCGUACCGCAAACCGACACAGGUAGGCGAGGAGAGAAUCCUAAGGUGAUCGAGAGAACUCUCGUUAAGGAACUCGGCAAAAUGACCCCGUAACUUCGGGAGAAGGGGUGCUCUGUUAGGGUGCAAGCCCGAGAGAGCCGCAGUGAAUAGGCCCAGGCGACUGUUUAGCAAAAACACAGGUCUCUGCGAAGCCGUAAGGCGAAGUAUAGGGGCUGACGCCUGCCCGGUGCUGGAAGGUUAAGAGGAGCGCUUAGCGUAAGCGAAGGUGCGAAUUGAAGCCCCAGUAAACGGCGGCCGUAACUAUAACGGUCCUAAGGUAGCGAAAUUCCUUGUCGGGUAAGUUCCGACCCGCACGAAAGGCGCAACGAUCUGGGCACUGUCUCAACGAGAGACUCGGUGAAAUUAUAGUACCUGUGAAGAUGCAGGUUACCCGCGACAGGACGGAAAGACCCGUGGAGCUUUACUGCAGCCUGAUAUUGAAUGUUGGUACAGCUUGUACAGGAUAGGUAGGAGCCUUGGAAACCGGAGCGCCAGCUUCGGUGGAGGCAUCGGUGGGAUACUACCCUGGCUGUAUUGACCUUCUAACCCGCCGCCCUUAUCGGGCGGGGAGACAGUGUCAGGUGGGCAGUUUGACUGGGGCGGUCGCCUCCUAAAAGGUAACGGAGGCGCCCAAAGGUUCCCUCAGAAUGGUUGGAAAUCAUUCGCAGAGUGUAAAGGCACAAGGGAGCUUGACUGCGAGACCUACAAGUCGAGCAGGGACGAAAGUCGGGCUUAGUGAUCCGGUGGUUCCGCAUGGAAGGGCCAUCGCUCAACGGAUAAAAGCUACCCCGGGGAUAACAGGCUUAUCUCCCCCAAGAGUCCACAUCGACGGGGAGGUUUGGCACCUCGAUGUCGGCUCAUCGCAUCCUGGGGCUGUAGUCGGUCCCAAGGGUUGGGCUGUUCGCCCAUUAAAGCGGUACGCGAGCUGGGUUCAGAACGUCGUGAGACAGUUCGGUCCCUAUCCGUCGCGGGCGCAGGAAAUUUGAGAGGAGCUGUCCUUAGUACGAGAGGACCGGGAUGGACGCACCGCUGGUGUACCAGUUGUUCUGCCAAGGGCAUCGCUGGGUAGCUAUGUGCGGACGGGAUAAGUGCUGAAAGCAUCUAAGCAUGAAGCCCCCCUCAAGAUGAGAUUUCCCAUUCCGCAAGGAAGUAAGAUCCCUGAAAGAUGAUCAGGUUGAUAGGUCUGAGGUGGAAGUGUGGCGACACAUGGAGCUGACAGAUACUAAUCGAUCGAGGACUUAACCAA
rnacentral:rRNA from 1 species